rnacentral:tmRNA from 3 species
GGGGAUGAAAGUUUCGAUGAUUGGCUCUUUAAAAACAAGGCAAGCUGAGUAUUCUCAAAUCUCAUAAAACUUUGAGAAAAAAACAUAAUUGCUAAUUUUUCAAAUAAGCAACCAGCACUAGCAUACGCUUAGUGUUCAUCCUUACUGUUGAUUCCUGAUAAGCAGAUCAAGGGUGUUAUACAAUCAGGAUAGAUGAUUAUUUUAGCUUUAGAAUAAUUAUUAAAAUACAUUAAAGCUAAGGUAUUAAAAUUUUAUUUAUCUUUUAUUUAAUAUCUGAAAUUAAAGGUAAAUAAGCUUGUAGAAUUGUUUUUAAUGACUUUUCAGACGAGGAUUCAACUCCUCCAUCUCCACAA